AGCUUUGCACAGCGGCAGUAUCGUAGCCAAUGAGGUUUAGCUGAGGGGUGAUUAUUGCUAAUUGAAAACUUUUCCCAAUACCCCGCCAUGACGACUUGAAAUGUAGUCAGCGUUGGCAAUUUUUGGCAGUCUCUAUGGGGA
rnacentral:snRNA from 1 species